rnacentral:rRNA from 1 species
UACGAAGGGUCCAAGCGUUAUCCGGAUUUAUUGGGUUUAAAGGGUGCGUAGGCGGCUUAUUAAGUCAGUGGUGAAAGACUUCAGCUUAACUGAAGAACUGCCAUUGAUACUAUUUAUCUUGAAUACUUUGGAGGUAAGCGGAAUAUGUCAUGUAGCGGUGAAAUGCUUAGAUAUGACAUAGAACACCAAUUGCGAAGGCAGCUCACUACACAGCCAUUGACGCUGAGGCACGAAAGCGUGGGGAUCAAACAGG